AUUGAACGCUGGCGGCAUGCCUUACACAUGCGAGUCGAACGGUAACAGGUUAAGCUGCCGAGUGGCGAACGGGUGAGUAAUGUAUCGGAACGUGCCCAGUCGUGGGGGAUAACUGCUCGAAAGAGCAGCUAAUACCGCAUACGACCUGAGGGUGAAAGCGGGGGAUCGCAAGACCUCGCGCGAUUGGAGCGGCCGAUAUCAGAUUAGGUAGUUGGUGAGGUAAAGGCUCACCAAGCCGACGAUCUGUAGCUGGUCUGAGAGGACGACCAGCCACACUGGGACUGAGACACGGCCCAGACUCCUACGGGAGGCAGCAGUGGGGAAUUUUGCACAAUGGGCGCAAGCCUGAUCCAGCCAUGCCGCGUGCGGGAAGAAGGCCUUCGGGUUGUAAACCGCUUUUGUCAGGGAAGAAAAGGUUCUGGCUAAUACCUGGGACUCAUGACGGUACCUGAAGAAUAAGCACCGGCUAACUACGUG
rnacentral:rRNA from 1 species